UACCCACCAUCUUCCAGGCAAUGCCCAGAAUGUUCCAGCCAAUGCCCAACACCUUCCAGCCAAGAACUUAGAGCAGACAUCUGAGGUAGACCAGCAUGUCAGUAAAUAUAGAGGACCUCCACUUUAUGAAAAAUACAUCCCAGAUAUCGAGUGCUAUAAUGCCAUACUAAAGCCACGAGUCAGCCUAAGCUUUCCGCUGGACUUUCCAAAGCCAGUACGACCUGGUACCAAAACAAGAUCAAGGCCUUCUGCU